CACCUUCGCCCCGCAUGUCCGAGGCACGGUGAUCUUGAGUCUGCCGACGUGGACGGCCGGGUCGUCGGAGUAGGCGGCGAGGGCGGCGUCUAAGGCGUCGAGGAACGAGAUUCCGCCGCCCUCCACGCCACGAAUUAGGUCGUCACCAAAAACGAGAUCUGGGCUGCGAGCCCAGACGCGACGCCAGCGGCGGGAGAGCGCGCUGGUGCGCGCGGCGGCGGGGGUUGAGUGGAGGCGGCGGAGGAUGUCGUGCAGCAGCUCGUCAGGAAGGCCGCUGAUCCGGUCCUUCCCACCUCCGGGUUGCCGGCGGCGGUCCUCCAUCUCUGCAAUAGUUGUUCUCGACAGCAUUUGUGGGCGAUACUA